AUGGACAUGAGGGCCCCUGCGCAGCUCCUCAGCCUCCUGCUUCUCUGGCUCCCAGGUGCCAGAUGUGACAUCGUGAUGACACAGUCUCCAUCCCUCCUGUCUGCAAAUCUAGGAGAGACUGCCACCCUCACCUGCAGGGCAAGUCAGAGUGUCGCCUCUUGGUUACACUGGUAUCAACAGACACUAGGGAAAAUUCCUAAGCUCCUGAUCUACAAGGCAUUGACUUUGCAGUCUGGGGUCUCAACACGUUUUAGUGGCAGUGGAUCUGGGACAGACUUCACCCUCACCAUCAGGGGUCUGCAGCCUGAAGAUGCUGGAUCAUACGAUUGUCAACAGGAUUAUAGUUACCCUUUCACAAGGACAAAAACAUAA